rnacentral:rRNA from 1 species
UACGUAGGGAGCAAGCGUUGUCCGGAAUCAUUGGGCGUAAAGCGCGCGUAGGCGGCCCCGUAAGUCCGCUGUGAAAGUCAAAGGCUCAACCUUUGAAAGCCGGUGGAAACUGUCGAGCUAGAGUCCGGAAGAGGCGAGUGGAAUUCCUGGUGUAGCGGUGAAAUGCGCAGAUAUCAGGAGGAACACCAAUGGCGAAGGCAGCUCGCUGGGACGGUACUGACGCUGAGACGCGAAAGCGUGGGGAGCAAACAGG